rnacentral:rRNA from 1 species
CUACGGGCCGCUCCAGUGGGGAAUAUUGGACAAUGGGGGAAACCCUGAUCCAGCAAUGCCGCGUGUGUGAAGAAGGCCUGCGGGUUGUAAAGCACUUUCGGUUGGGAGGACUGCUUCUAGCACUAAUAUUGUUGGAAGUUGACGUUACCUUCAGAAGAAGCACCGGCUAACUCCGUGCCAGCAGCCGCGGGAAUACGGAGGGUGCAAGCGUUAAUCGGAAUUACUGGGCGUAAAGCGCGCGUAGGCGGCUAGAUCAGUCGGGUGUGAAAGCCCCGGGCUUAACCUGGGAACUGCAUCCGAUACUGUCGAGCUUGAGUACAGGAGAGGAGAGUGGAAUUCCACAUGUAGCAGUGAAAUGCGUAGAUAUGUGGAGGAACACCAAUGGCGAAGGCAGCUCUCUGGCCUGAUACUGACGCUGAGGUGCGAAAGCGUGGGGAGCAGACAGGAUUAGAUACCCGGGUAGUC